AAUAUUUACUUUAUAGAAAUGGUUUAGUGUCGUCAGAAAAAGUCCGUUAGCAUCUCCACUGUAAGGCUAACUACAAGAGUAUGUUUAUGUUCUUGGUUCUUCCAUGCUGAUGGCUGUGCUCUAGAGUCAUAUCUCCUGUCGAAGAACAUUUUUAGACAUUAUGAACCAUGAAAAAGUUUAGCUCCAACCCCAGUUAAGCAGAUCGGGGCAGCUGAUCAAGGAUCACCAGAAACUCUGCAGAACAUUGGUCCUCCAGCCCAGGACUGGACACCAGUCAUUAAUCUAGAAGUAAUCCUGCCUCUUUGAAGUGUCAUGUUCAGAAUAUAUUACAGGAGAUCUCAACAUUGU